rnacentral:piRNA from 1 species
CCUCUCAUCUGUGACAACUCCACGAGC